rnacentral:rRNA from 1 species
UACGUAGGGUGCGAGCGUUGUCCGGAAUUAUUGGGCGUAAAGAGCUUGUAGGCGGUUUGUCGCGUCUGCCGUGAAAUUUCGAGGCUCAACCUCGAACUUGCGGUGGGUACGGGCAGACUAGAGUGUGGUAGGGGAGACUGGAAUUCCUGGUGUAGCGGUGAAAUGCGCAGAUAUCAGGAGGAACACCGGUGGCGAAGGCGGGUCGCUGGGCCGUAACUGACGCUGAGGAGCGAAAGCGUGGGGAGCGAACAGG